rnacentral:rRNA from 1 species
GUGACAUACCUAUAACGUUGCCUCGGCGGGAACAGACGGCCCCGUAACACGGGCCGCCCCCGCCAGAGGACCCCCUAACUCUGUUUCUAUAAUGUUUCUUCUGAGUAAACAAGCAAAUAAAUUAAAACUUUCAACAACGGAUCUCUUGGCUCUGGCAUCGAUGAAGAACGCAGCGAAAUGCGAUAAGUAAUGUGAAUUGCAGAAUUCAGUGAAUCAUCGAAUCUUUGAACGCACAUUGCGCCCGCCAGUAUUCUGGCGGGCAUGCCUGUUCGAGCGUCAUUACAACCCUCAGGCCCCCGGGCCUGGCGUUGGGGAUCGGCGGAAGCCCCCUGCGGGCACAACGCCGUCCCCCAAAUACAGUGGCGGUCCCGCCGCAGCUUCCAUUGCGUAGUAGCUAACACUCGCAACUGGAGAGCGGCGCGGCCACGCCGUAAAACACCCAACUUCUGAAUGUUGACCUCGAAUCAGGUAGGAAUACCCGCUGAACUUAAGCAUAUCAAAA